GAAGACUACUCCUAAUGAUGCGAUAAUCACUCAUAGGUACGGUUAGUCGAUCUUUUAUUUGAACAGAAAAAGUCUAUUAUCUUGAUUCUCACCAAAGAAUUGAGCGAAGGAUUAAAUGUUAGGCAAGAUCCUAUAGUAUGUGGUUUUCCUGAAUUUAUCCCAAAGACAUCACUUCUCUUCCUCCAAAAAGAGAAAUGAAAUUCUCUAUUCACCUUGUACCAAAAAUUGCCUCCAUUUCAAUGAAAUGUUCACACUCAUCACAUAAUUAUUUUGAUAAAAUAUGAGAAAUUGUUGUCCUUGUUUCUCCAACAUGGUAUAGCAAAAUGUCUGUUUUUUUAUAAGGACAGGUAAUUUCUUUAGCCUAACUGUAUCCCUAUCACAUAACACUUAGUUAAUGGAGGCAAAGAAAAUUUGAAUGAUGUCAAUUGAUGAAUUCAGGGACGGAGUCAGAAAUUUUAAGUUGUUGAGACAAUAUAUUUGUGUAUUAUAAUAAAUUAACAUUUAUAUUUUAAAGCAUAAAUCUAUAUUAUAUGGAUUUUUUUAUGAUAUUUAUCUUUAAAAAAUAUUUAAUAAUUUUUUGAAA
rnacentral:lncRNA from 1 species